AGGCAAGUUUCAGUGGUCUUUUGGCCGUGUUCCCUAACUUAGCAAUGUUUGAUUAGCAAAGCUUUCUGCAUACUCUGUUACAGUCCCCAUGGCCCCAGGGCUGCAGCUCCACAGGAGGGACCUUUCCCCGGGGCACUGCAUGGGCCACCUCACUCUCUCCCCAGCCUGCUGGGAAAUGAAGAGUAUAUCUCUCUCCAAAAUUUCUGCUGCUCUGGAGUCUGAGGAGCACCCCUUGCCUUCUCUCUGGGCCUCCUGGGCACAUGGAGGGGUGGGAUGAGACCUUCACCCAGCCUAGCUGCUGGUUAUUGCUCCUUGCAAAUCCUCAUGGGCCCAUGAUCCUGCAGCUUGGAGUAGUUUGGGGUUACAAACACUGCAUUCAGGGCAAUUCCUUGGCAUCACCUCCAGUUCCAGGAUCAGUGUGGUGAGUGAACACUUGCCUUUGAUGUGGCUACUGAAGGCUGAUGUUAUAGGGCUGGUUGUUACAGCUCCUGUAUAAUGUAAAUUACACAUUUAGCACAGGUGACCCAGGAGGAAAGGCAGGCACUGAAACCUGAGCCAGGGAAUGGGGCAGCUGUGGAGAAUGUGGGGCAGCUACAGGUCCUGGCUGUGAGAUGGGACAGGCCUGCAAUGGGGCAGCUGUGGAGAAUGUGGGGCAGCUGCAGGUCCUGGCACUGGGGUGGGACAGGCCUGGCAGGACCCAGGGGUCUGCUCAGCUGGUGGAGGGUUCCAGGUUGCUCAUUAAAAAGAAAGCGAUCAAAAUGAACACCAACAACAAAAGAUAAAGCAAACCACUCACGAAGAGUGGAGAAGAGAAAUGGUGUGGGAAGGUUCUGGCUGCUCUUGGAAAGAUUUUCAGCUGUGCCCCAGCCCAGCACUGCCUCUCAGGAGGAGCUGGGCUACAGGCAUUUCAAACCUAUGCCAAACACAAAUGCAAAUUCUGGCAUUUCACUGUUUUGCAGGGGACUGAGCCCUGCUGAGUUGCUGCUUCUGAGGGGACAGAGCUCGAUGGCACUGCCAGUGUCUCUGCACAUGGCCCUGGGUGAUGAGGAGGAGGAGCCACAGCCACAGCUUGGUUUCUUAGAAGGGGAUGUGGUGGGAGGUACCUGCAGCCAAGGUUACCUUUUUGGAGCUUAAGAGAUGAGAAAGAGGAAAGAGAGAACCAUGGAUAGGAAGAGAGAUGGAUGAAAAAGUGAGAAACCUCAGGUAGGCACAAAUCUUAGAGGUUUGGGAUUUUUUAAUUAUCACAAUUUAGUGCUCAAAGAUCAGCCCUGCUAAUGCUGUUCUGGGGUAAAUUUAUUUAGAUCAGCCCCUGCUCUUGGAAAAGGAGCAGUACAAAUGUGAGGUGGGAGCGUGCAGACUUUUUGUGUUCUUACAUUAUGGAUGGACCUUGUUUUCCAGCUGCCAAAAGCCAGGCAAAAUUCAGGAAGGUGCAGGGCUGAGGAGGGGCAGUUCUGUGGGUCCCACUGCUACCAGGCUCAGUAGAAAUUUAACAAUCAUUUUCCAGCAAAAACCUUGUCAAGUGUCUUCUGAAAGUAUGCAGUUCCUCCAACUAUAGUACCUUAAACUGCAUUCCCAGUAAUCCAGAGGUAUUUCUAGCAUGUUUAACAAUAGGUUUUGUAUGUUUUGGCUCAAUUGUCAAGAUUUGAUUGAGGCAGACAAUCCAAUUAACCAAAAUUGGAAUUUUUCCCUUGGUAAAGACUUCAGGCUUGACCCCUAAAUCAGUAAAAUCAUCAUCAUCCAGAAAACUGGACUGUUUAGGUAGAGGCAGGUGCAGCUUCCUUUGAUUUUUGUCCUCAUGCUAGUGAGGUAUUUGGAUAUUUUGCUAAAAAUCCUGCUGUGGAAGGGAAAGGGCUCAGGAAAGCAAGCCUGUUAUCUAAAAAAGCUUCAGGAACUAUAAAUAGGCUGAGAGUUUCUCCAGAAACCUGGAGAGCUGGGAGGAGGAUGAGGGGGGAGCAUUCUGUGAGGACUCUGUGUUACCUCAGCACCUGAAGUCUCAGAACCAAUUUGAAAUUCCAGUGUCCUAAGGCACGACAAUUUUGAUUAAUGAAGAUGGGAAUAAGGAGCAGAGGGAAGAGCUGGCUGCCAGGACAGAACAAAAGCAGCAUUUGUUCAUGUGGACAAACGUUGCAGAAGAGGAGGGAAGAUGGGCUGUGGGUGUUCCCAGGCUGCUCUGACACUGUGGAAGCAUCCUGACUCUGCCUGUGGAAUUUCUACACACAGGCUGAGAAGGAAGACAAGUUUAAGAAGUGGGGCUUUUGUAGAA
rnacentral:lncRNA from 1 species